UGUUGGGAAGUAGUAAAGGGCUUGGUGCUUUUUGAACAUUUUCAUGCUUGUUCUUUAGAUGUUCACAGGCUCAGUUAUGGGGUUAUUACCCUUUUCCCCAAACUUUCCAAUGCCAACAAGAUUGAGCAAUAUAGGCCCAUCUGCUUGUUAAGAAGCAUCUAUAAAUGGAUUACAAAACCUCUACAUUUAAGAGCGGAAUAUUUUGUUCGUAAAUUAUGUAGUACACAACAAAAUGCUUUUAUCAAGAAUAGGUACAUUGUUGAUGGGAUUUUAUCCUUACAUGAGCUAAUGCAUCACCCAUGGUAUAUAGACAAACCCCUUAGCGAGCAUGCACCUGUAUUUUGA
rnacentral:rRNA from 1 species